rnacentral:misc_RNA from 1 species
UAAGUUCAAGUUUGAAUUAUAUUUGAUCAGUAAAAGAGAAAGGUAUCGUAUCAUUUUGUUAGGAUGUAAUUGAAUGAAAUAUAAUGUCAAAAAAUGAUAUUCCAGUCCAUUCAAUUUAAAGAAAACUCAAAGACAAUUUGUACGUUUAAUUUAACAGUUUGUGCUAUGUGUUUCCACUAAUACUAAAGUUAAUUUGUUUGGAACAUUUUGUCUUCAGGGGCUUCCAAAAUCAUCAGAUUCUUGAGACAACGUGACUGCAUCAGAGAUCAAAUCAGUGCUUGUCGAGAAAUACCAGGC